UUCUGUUUGAAGACACUGUUUCCAUCAGCAUGUCUUAAUAUACUAAACGUGUCCCCUAAGCCCAUCCUUGAAGCUUGGUGCUACGAUUCCCUGGUACAACUUUAUGGUUUGGAAGACUUGUGUACACACACAUUCCGACAUAGCAGAGUCCCCUACAACAACCAGGAGCUACAGUUAUAAUUUCAUUGCAUGUUUCAAACCUGAAGUGGGACAGAAGUCACACGACUGGAAACAAAAUAGCUCGUGAAUGGUGAUUUAUUUACAGAGACUGCUUCCAGCAGGAGCACUCAGUCUGCAUCUCACGCUUCCGUUGAAUAUUCAGUUUGACCCAGUGUCCACGGCCAUUGCUAAUGGUGCUCUCAGCUGUGCAGAGAGGCUCUGUUGAUUGAGGACCACCGCGGCCCUGAUGGUCUUCAAUAUUCUGUGUUUUAUUUUAACAUACAAAAUGUGGUCUGACGUGCUGAUCAGAAAACUCUCGAGCCUCUUGUACAGUGCUCAGGCUCUGCUCUGAACUUCUGUAUUUUAAAGAUGCCUAUUCCAGCUGCCGAAUGUGCACGGCUACCGUGGACGGUGACUGCACCCAAAUGUGACAAUAACAGAAGCUGAAGCUGACAGAUGUCCAGGUGUAACCCGCACCCGGAGAGCAAAGGAAUAAUCUGCUGAACCCAUCGCAGUAAAAUGGAUUGUUUUAAAUUCUUCACCUACUCCAAAAAAAAUCCAAUGUAACAAGUCUCAGCCUCCAAUCCUCCAAAGGCAUGCUUAACUUUAUGCACACAUAUGGAUCUGUUGAUUCAGAAUGACUGCUCACUUGUAUGCCUUAAAAAAUGCAGAUGUGUAGCCAGGCCUUUGCGGGACCGAGGCUUUCUCGACCGUUCUCUCUAAAAUGCCCUCCUAAAUUCAAAGAUGGCAAUAUUUUAAGCAGACUGACACAAAUCUCACGUGAAUUUAUUUUCAUAAGGUUCCUAAUGGAAACGGCUGCGCAUUUACAUUGACUUUUAUAUUGAGUGUGAUAACAACAUUCAUAUAUGGAAAGCCAAGGAGCGGUGAUAUCAUUAAUACAUAUAUCAGUCCCAAGACUGAGAUGCUGGAAGCACGAGCCCUACGGGUAAUGAUAUUGAUGGCUCUGGUUCUUCUUGAGGUAAAACUUGUUCCACUGGAGCUCAGCCCUCAGGAGCAAAAUGCCCUACGUGAAAUGCGUCGCCUUUGAAAAACCUUCACUCUGUCUCCAAUUAUUGUAACGGUGAAUAUCUGAUAUGAGCUGCUAGUGCGUUCACAAAUUAAAAGAGAAACCUAAUGAUAUUGCUUAUGUUCAUGCUGAGCAUUAAAAGGUAAUGUCUAAAAGGUUUUAUUGUGUUAAUAAAACUCCGAGGUGGUCAAGACUUGAUGCACAUAGGAAUAGAAUGCAAAAUAAUCAGUCAUAAUGUUAUGACUUCAUUUUUCAUUUGUGUUUUCAAGUUUGCCUUGAAAAUCUUAGAUUGCGCUACAAGAAAAAAGACAAUAUUAUAUCAAAGAAAAGGAAAAAUUAUAAGCAUGACUUAUCUUUAAUGUUUUACAUCAAAAUGGAAUUUCUGUGAUACGUGUCAUGUGCAUAAACAACACAGGCAGCUUUUGUCUUUGUUGAAUUUAAAUGAAAAGUCCCUCUAGAUAUUAAUAUGUGGACUUCAUUUGUUAGCCUGCUAAGUCAGGGACUUAUAACAAAAGCUUUGUAAACAAAAGAUUAAACUGAAUCGAGCUUUCGAAAAUGAAAGGAAAACAAGAGUCAAAUAAUCACAGAUCAGAGUGGGGCUGCUUAGAUUGAAAUCACUACAAGCUACUGGAGUGGAAAAUGUUUAAUUGAACUGUUUCAUUACGCAGGAAGUUUAUGUCCCUCUUGUAGAAUCCAAAAUAUUUGUAUCCAAAAAUCCCUUCUCUUUCUUUAAAAUACAGUUCUGCAAGCAUCAGAUGCGAUCUUAAAGGUUGUUGAAUAACUUCAUGGCAAAGAGUGAAUGCAGAAAAUAAUAGGUCAAAGGUAAGAAUUCAGGUUUGUGGAUUUUGCAGCUUGAUGUACCUACUGAAGAUGCUGAUACAUUAGACAGAGUUUGUAUGUGGCAUUAUUUUUGCAAGUGAUAAGUAGUAUACGGCACCGCUCAGAAACGUACGUGAAAUUCAAACAAAUGAAAGCUUUUGAGUCCUUACUCACCUUUGGUAACCGUUCGGGAUCACCUGGAUGUCGUGGAAUAACUUUCUGCAACCUCUGAAAGCCAUAAUCUAUGGUUGGUUCAUUAAGUGCUAGAACAUAA